rnacentral:rRNA from 1 species
UACGUAGGUGGCAAGCGUUGUCCGGAUUUACUGGGCGUAAAGAGCGCGCAGGCGGUCGUUCAAGUCGAGUGUGAAAGCCCCCGGCUCAACUGGGGAGGGUCAUUCGAUACUGAUCGACUCGAAGGCAGGAGAGGGUAGUGGAAUUCCCGGUGUAGUGGUGAAAUGCGUAGAUAUCGGGAGGAACACCAGUGGCGAAGGCGACUACCUGGCCUGUUCUUGACGCUGAGGUGCGAAAGCGUGGGGAGCAAACAGGG